rnacentral:rRNA from 1 species
AAAUGAAUAGACGGGGGCCCGCACAAGCGGCGGAGCAUGCGGAUUAAUUCGAUGCAACGCGAAGAACCUUACCAAGGCUUGACAUACACCGGAAUCAUGCAGAGAUGUGUGAGUCUUCGGACUGGUGUACAGGUGGUGCAUGGUUGUCGUCAGCUCGUGUCGUGAGAUGUUGGGUUAAGUCCCGCAACGAGCGCAACCCUUGUCUCGUGUUGCCAGCAUUUAGUUGGGGACUCACGAGAGACUGCCGGGGUUAACUCGGAGGAAGGUGGGGAUGACGUCAAAUCAUCAUGCCCCUUAUGUCUUGGGCUUCACGCAUGCUACAAUGGCAAGUACAGAGUGUUGCGAGCCUGUGAGGGUGAGCGAAUCACUUAAAGCUUGUCUCAGUUCGGAUUGGGGUCUGCAACUCGACCCCAUGAAGUCGGAGUCGCUAGUAAUCGCAGAUCAGCAACGCUGCGGUGAAUACGUUCUCGGGCCUUGUACACACCGCCCGU